UCUCCUCUCUCUCUCUGAACUUGAAGCUUCCUGGUCCCACUGGGCUGCCUAGCUAAUGAGUGUCAAAGAUCAGCCUGUCUCCAUCCCUCAGCAAUGAGGUUAUGAACACACAUGGCCAUAUCUGCUUUUUUGUAGGUAGUGAGGAUCUGAACUCAAGUCCUCCAGCUUGUGCAGCAAGCACUCCUACCCACUGAGCCAUCUCCCCAACCUGGCACUCGGCCUUGUACUAGUACUGAAAAAUUAAUACAAGAUGAAUGGUAUUUUGACAUCUGAUCAAGGCUUAAUUCUAGUACAACUAACUACACAGACUGAAACACCACUCAUGGCAGAUCCUGCACAUUUUUAUGUGACUGUUUAUUUAUACUUCUCCUCUCUUGGCUCCACAGAAUAAGCUCUUGUUCCACAUUAAGUAACCUUGUGUGUUUAUUCCCCCCUCACUGUCUGGGAGUCUAGUCCAAGUGUCUGGCAGAGAACCUUGAUAGGGGAUUGCAGAGAGUGGUCUGGCCAUCAGACAAAGAGACAAGGAACACCCAUUGCCAUCCCAGAGGCUGGGCUCACUAGGUGUUGAGUGGGCCACCCAGACUAGGAGAUACCAGUUGGUUUCCUUUGGCGUUACACUAUAGUAAAUUCCUUGGAAGCAAGGAGAUGUUGUGGUUAAAAUGGAGUUUAAACACCAGUGACAUGGAUCUGAAUGUUAACUGUGCCAUUUCUUGCUGUGCAAUUAUCAGCAAAUCACCUGAAUCCCCUGAGAUCCUUUUUUUUUUUUAUCUGUCACAGCAGGUGGAGGUGAAGAAUGCACCCAAUGAUAGAUAGGAAGAAGAACUUAGAGAAUGACAGUUUACAAAAUGUCUCUAAAGGUGCUGCAUGCAUUAGCGCUUGGGAACCAGUACUAACUUGGAGCUUUCCACUAAAAUUCUCUACGCUUUGAUGCAGGAAGUGUGGAGUCCAGCUUCCUCGGGGUAACUUCCAUGAUGUGGUCUGUUCAAAUCAAUAAUGUGCUGCUAUAGCAAGAUGCCUGAGGCUCAGUAACAUGUACUGCAUAGAAAUGUGUUGGUUUGCCGUUCUAGAGCCUGGCAAGUCCCGGAUGAAGGAGCUGCCACUCCAGUGAUGGCUCGUGCACUAAACCAUCCUCUGGCAGAAAGGCAAACAGUGGCUGAGUGGUAACGCUUUUGUGGGUGCAUUUGUAGCCUGACUCUUCUCACGAAGUCCCACCUCCAAGUAAUGUUUGCAUCGGGCUGAAGUUUCUAGCACAUGUUUUUAAGGGACACAUUCAAACCAGAAAAUCAUCUCAAGAUCCUGUCCAAAAGGUUGAUUGUUAAAUAUGAAAGGCAUGUAAGAACGGCCCAGUUAAGGUGAAACCUAGAACUGUCUGACCUAGCACUCUCUGGCAGACCCUUGCUGGUUUCUGUUGUGCUUCUCCUUACGCGCUGUCAGCAGCGAGGCAGAGACCUUCAACUUCUCAUUUGGUAAAGAAGUAAAAUGCUUCUGCGUGACUUUGCAUGGUUGCCAAGGAGAUAACUUCUGGUGAGCUGGAAACACAGAAUAUUUAAAAAUAAAACUCUUUGGGCUGGGACAAUGGUUCAGGAGGUAAAAUGAUUGCCAUAUAAGCACAAAGACUUGCGUUCAUGUCUCCCAGGACCAUAUAAAACGCUGAGAAUGGCAGCGUGGGCUCAUACUUCUCCUGCUGGCCAGGCAGAGAAAAGAGGGUCCCUGGAGCAUGGUCACUAGCUCAUCCUGUGCAGUUGGCAACUCUGACUUCAAUGAAAGAUCGUCCUCAAAAGCUAUGAUGUCAGGUGUGAUGGUGCGUGAUUGUAAUCCCAUCACUUGGAAGGUAAAGGCAAGAGGCCCAGGAGCUCAAGGCCAUCCUCCAUUAUGUGGGUCAUAAUGAUCAACUGUUUCAAACUAAAAUGGCAUUUCUCUAUGCAGCCACGACUGUCCUGGAACUCACUCUGAAAACUAGGCUGGCCUCAAACUCACAGAAAUCUGUCACCUCUGACUCCUGAUUUCUAGGUUUAAAAAAGUGCACUGUCUUGUAAUUCUUUUUGGUCUCCUAUAAGUAGCAAAUAAAAAUAUGGAUAUAAAUGGAA